rnacentral:rRNA from 1 species
CCGAGUUUACAACUCCCAAACCCAAUGUGAACGUUACCAAACUGUUGCCUCGGCGGGAUCUCUGCCCCGGGUGCGUCGCAGCCCCGGACCAAGGCGCCCGCCGGAGGACCAACCAAAACUCUUAUUGUAUACCCCCUCGCGGGUUUUUUACUAUCUGAGCCAUCUCGGCGCCCCUCGUGGGCGUUUCGAAAAUGAAUCAAAACUUUCAACAACGGAUCUCUUGGUUCUGGCAUCGAUGAAGAACGCAGCGAAAUGCGAUAAGUAAUGUGAAUUGCAGAAUUCAGUGAAUCAUCGAAUCUUUGAACGCACAUUGCGCCCGCCAGUAUUCUGGCGGGCAUGCCUGUCCGAGCGUCAUUUCAACCCUCGAACCCCUCCGGGGGGUCGGCGUUGGGGAUCGGCCCUUUACGGGGCCGGCCCCGAAAUACAGUGGCGGUCUCGCCGCAGCCUCUCCUGCGCAGUAGUUUGCACACUCGCAUCGGGAGCGCGGCGCGUCCACAGCCGUUAAACACCCCAAACUUCUGAAAUGUUGACCUCGGAUCAGGUAGGAAUACCCGCUGAACUUAAGCAUAUCAAAAGGCCGGGAGGAA